CCCUUAGAUGUCCGGGGCUGCACGCGCGCUACAAUGGUCGGAGCAGAAUGAAAAGAGACGGCUCCGCGAGGCGGGAGCGUCCUUCGGGGCCUCCCGUUCUUAAUGGUUGACCGUUCCCCGGGUCGACGGGCCCGGGAGAUCGGCUGGAAUCUCGAUCGUGAUCGGGACAGAGUCUUGUAAUUGUUACUCUCAAACGAGGAAUUCCUAGUAGGCGCGAGUCAUGACCUCGCGUCGACUGCGUCCCUGCCCUUUGUACACACCGCCCGUCGCUCCUACCGAUUUCGAGUGAUCCGGUGAAUCAUUCGGACCGCGUGGGCUUGACCUAACGUGGAAAGUCUAGUAAACCAUAUCACUUAGAGGAAGGAGAAGUCGUAACA
rnacentral:rRNA from 1 species